UGUGAGCUCGAUGAGUAGGGCGGGACACGUGGUAUCCUGUCUGAAUAUGGGGGGACCAUCCUCCAAGGCUAAAUACUCCUGACUGACCGAUAGUGAACCAGUACCGUGAGGGAAAGGCGAAAAGAACCCCGGCGAGGGGAGUGAAAAAGAACCUGAAACCGUGUACGUACAAGCAGUGGGAGCACAGAGCAAUCUGUGUGACUGCGUACCUUUUGUAUAAUGGGUCAGCGACUUAUAUUCUGUAGCAAGGUUAACCGAAUAGGGGAGCCGAAGGGAAACCGAGUCUUAACUGGGCGUUAAGUUGCAGGGUAUAGACCCGAAACCCGGUGAUCUAGCCAUGGGCAGGUUGAAGGUUGGGUAACACUAACUGGAGGACCGAACCGACUAAUGUUGAAAAAUUAGCGGAUGACUUGUGGCUGGGGGUGAAAGGCCAAUCAAACCGGGAGAUAGCUGGUUCUCCCCGAAAGCUAUUUAGGUAGCGCCUCGUGAAUUCAUCUCCGGGGGUAGAGCACUGUUUCGGCAAGGGGGUCAUCCCGACUUACCAACCCGAUGCAAACUGCGAAUACCGGAGAAUGUUAUCACGGGAGACACACGGCGGGUGCUAACGUCCGUCGUGAAGAGGGAAACAACCCAGACCGCCAGCUAAGGUCCCAAAGUCAUGGUUAAGUGGGAAACGAUGUGGGAAGGCCCAGACAGCCAGGAUGUUGGCUUAGAAGCAGCCAUCAUUUAAAGAAAGCGUAAUAGCUCACUGGUCGAGUCGGCCUGCGCGGAAGAUGUAACGGGGCUAAACCAUGCACCGAAGCUGCGGCAGCGACGCUUAUGCGUUGUUGGGUAGGGGAGCGUUCUGUAAGCCUGCGAAGGUGUGCUGUGAGGCAUGCUGGAGGUAUCAGAAGUGCGAAUGCUGACAUAAGUAACGAUAAAGCGGGUGAAAAGCCCGCUCGCCGGAAGACCAAGGGUUCCUGUCCAACGUUAAUCGGGGCAGGGUGAGUCGACCCCUAAGGCGAGGCCGAAAGGCGUAGUCGAUGGGAAACAGGUUAAUAUUCCUGUACUUGGUGUUACUGCGAAGGGGGGACGGAGAAGGCUAUGUUGGCCGGGCGACGGUUGUCCCGGUUUAAGCGUGUAGGCUGGUUUUCCAGGCAAAUCCGGAAAACUAAGGCUGAGGCGUGAUGACGAGGCACUACGGUGCUGAAGCAACAAAUGCCCUGCUUCCAGGAAAAGCCUCUAAGCAUCAGGUAACAUCAAAUCGUACCCCAAACCGACACAGGUGGUCAGGUAGAGAAUACCAAGGCGCUUGAGAGAACUCGGGUGAAGGAACUAGGCAAAAUGGUGCCGUAACUUCGGGAGAAGGCACGCUGAUAUGUAGGUGAAGCGACUUGCUCGUGGAGCUGAAAUCAGUCGAAGAUACCAGCUGGCUGCAACUGUUUAUUAAAAACACAGCACUGUGCAAACACGAAAGUGGACGUAUACGGUGUGACGCCUGCCCGGUGCCGGAAGGUUAAUUGAUGGGGUCAGCGCAAGCGAAGCUCUUGAUCGAAGCCCCGGUAAACGGCGGCCGUAACUAUAACGGUCCUAAGGUAGCGAAAUUCCUUGUCGGGUAAGUUCCGACCUGCACGAAUGGCGUAAUGAUGGCCAGGCUGUCUCCACCCGAGACUCAGUGAAAUUGAACUCGCUGUGAAGAUGCAGUGUACCCGCGGCAAGACGGAAAGACCCCGUGAACCUUUACUAUAGCUUGACACUGAACAUUGAGCCUUGAUGUGUAGGAUAGGUGGGAGGCUUUGAAGUGUGGACGCCAGUCUGCAUGGAGCCGACCUUGAAAUACCACCCUUUAAUGUUUGAUGUUCUAACGUUGACCCGUGAUCCGGGUUGCGGACAGUGUCUGGUGGGUAGUUUGACUGGGGCGGUCUCCUCCUAAAGAGUAACGGAGGAGCACGAAGGUUGGCUAAUCCUGGUCGGACAUCAGGAGGUUAGUGCAAUGGCAUAAGCCAGCUUGACUGCGAGCGUGACGGCGCGAGCAGGUGCGAAAGCAGGUCAUAGUGAUCCGGUGGUUCUGAAUGGAAGGGCCAUCGCUCAACGGAUAAAAGGUACUCCGGGGAUAACAGGCUGAUACCGCCCAAGAGUUCAUAUCGACGGCGGUGUUUGGCACCUCGAUGUCGGCUCAUCACAUCCUGGGGCUGAAGUAGGUCCCAAGGGUAUGGCUGUUCGCCAUUUAAAGUGGUACGCGAGCUGGGUUUAGAACGUCGUGAGACAGUUCGGUCCCUAUCUGCCGUGGGCGCUGGAGAACUGAGGGGGGCUGCUCCUAGUACGAGAGGACCGGAGUGGACGCAUCACUGGUGUUCGGGUUGUCAUGCCAAUGGCACUGCCCGGUAGCUAAAUGCGGAAGAGAUAAGUGCUGAAAGCAUCUAAGCACGAAACUUGCCCCGAGAUGAGUUCUCCCUGACUCCUUGAGAGUCCUGAAGGAACGUUGAAGACGACGACGUUGAUAGGCCGGGUGUGUAAGCGCAGCGAUGCGUUGAGCUAACCGGUACUAAUGAACCGUGAGGCUUAACCUUACAACGCCGAAGGUGUUU
rnacentral:rRNA from 1 species